rnacentral:rRNA from 1 species
GGGGAAUCUUGCGCAAUGGGCGAAAGCCUGACGCAGCAACGCCGCGUGUGUGAUGAAGGUCUUCGGAUCGUAAAGCACUGUCGGGAGGGAAGAUACGCUUCACAAUAACAAGGUGAGGCUAAGACGGUACCUCCAAAGGAAGCACCGGCUAACUCUGUGCCAGCAGCCGCGGUAAUACAGAGGGUGCGAGCGUUGUUCGGAAUUAUUGGGCGUAAAGCGCUUGUAGGCGGCUUGUUAAGUCUCGUGUGAAAUCCCCAGGCUUAACCUGGGAAGUGCGCGAGAAACUGGCGAGCUUGAAUGCCGGAGAGGGUCGCGGAAUUCCCGGUGUAGAGGUGAAAUUCGUAGAUAUCGGGAGGAACACCAGUGGCGAAGGCGGCGACCUGGACGGACAUUGACGCUGAGACGCGAAAGCGUGGGGAGCAAAC